AACACAGAAAAAAAAAUUCAUAUUACUAGAAUACAUUGGUAUCGAAGAAACUAGAUUCUGUUCCGAAAUAUCACUUAGUCGAACCGUCCUGACCGCGUAGCUCAGUUGGAAGAGCAUUGGGCUAGUAUUCCAAAGGUCGUAGGUUCGAAUCCCACCGUGGCCGGGCAUAUUUUUCAAGCUGGCCCGGUGUGGAUAUGCACUCAGAGUAACAUCGCAAACAUAUUAUACACCUGAGUACACAACACCAACACAGAAAAAAAAAAUUCAUAUUACAAGAACACAUAGGUAUUGAAGGAACUAGAUACUGUUCCGAAAUAUCACUUACUCGAACCGUCCUGACCGCGUAGCUCAGUUGGAAGAGCAUUGGGCUAGUAUUCCAAAGGUCGUAGGUUCGAAUCCCACCGUGGCCGG